rnacentral:misc_RNA from 1 species
GCAAAAGAAGCGAUUGACGAUGAUUGGGAUAGCACAAGAACCAGAUCCAUUAAUCAAACAGCAGCAAGCAUAGACGAGAGUUUAGAAAACGAAAAGUAGAAGGGGGUACACAAUUGUGAGGUAAGAGGAGAAAAGCCUCUUCAGGCAUUCAACCCCUUUACAUUUUAAUUCCCAACGUGACAACACAGCGGUACAAUUUAGCACAUAGUUGACAAGACCUAUAUGUUAUUGCCCUUAACACUAGAAACAGGUGCCUUCGGGUGGCUGAACUAGCUUACGGUUGUGGGGAGAAGCCAUUUCCUUUUUCAGUUGAGUCAGUAUGUCUUCCAUAGUGUACUCUCGCUGCCAAUUUGCAAGCAAAGCAAACUUUUUUGGCUCCACCACUCCUGUCUCAUGGUUGACACAUGUCAUGUUAACUCGAGAGUGGAAACGCACACUUGGUGGCUUCUCCGGAUAAUCCUUGUCGCAAAAUAGCUUCAACUGAUAAAUACGGCCUUCAUGCACAGAAUUGUGAGGACCAAUAAUGGUGCCAGUCCAAGAACGCAUAUAAAUAUCAUCUCCAUCAUCCAUACCAUAGCUCACUGUCCCAUCUCCAAUACCCUUCUCCCCGCGUUCAAGUUCCUCCAGUAAUCUGAAAUUGCGAGGGACCACAACACUAGAUCCUCCUGAACCAAGCGUCAUGGCUGAUUGAUGCUUCAGAUGAUUCUUUGGGGUUUAUACAAAUAUCGAUUUGAUCGACAAAAAGAAGAAAAAAAACCCACACUGAGAUAUUCUUGAAAAAUCGAAUGGAGGGUUCAAGAGAGGCAGAAGGGAAUAGAAGGGGCAAAAGUAUAAAAAGGGGAUAAAAUAGAUAUAUGAUUGGUAGUGGGUAGGAAAAUGCAAUUGCUAAAAAAAAAUCUCACAAUUUUCGAGGAGUCUCGACG